GAUGAACGCUGGCGGCGUGCCUAAUACAUGCAAGUCGAGCGAACAGAUAAGGAGCUUGCUCCUUUGACGUUAGCGGCGGACGGGUGAGUAACACGUGGAUAACCUACCUAUAAGACUGGGAUAACUUCGGGAAACCGGAGCUAAUACCGGAUAACAUAUUGAACCGCAUGGUUCAAUAGUGAAAGGCGGCUUUGCUGUCACUUAUAGAUGGAUCCGCGCCGUAUUAGCUAGUUGGUAAGGUAACGGCUUACCAAGGCAACGAUACGUAGCCGACCUGAGAGGGUGAUCGGCCACACUGGAACUGAGACACGGUCCAGACUCCUACGGGAGGCAGCAGUAGGGAAUCUUCCGCAAUGGGCGAAAGCCUGACGGAGCAACGCCGCGUGAGUGAUGAAGGCCUUCGGAUCGUAAAACUCUGUUAUCAGGGAAGAACAAAUGUGUAAGUAACUGUGCACAUCUUGACGGUACCUGAUCAGAAAGCCACGGCUAACUACGUG
rnacentral:rRNA from 1 species